AAAACAGUUUAUGCAGUGAGCCAGGUUACACUGAAAAUAUUACAUCACAAUAGAAAGUGUAAGCUUCACAUUCUGAGGUAGACCUAAUGUAGGUCAAGAAUGGUGGGGAAAGAGGGGCAGAAAAGGCAUUUCGGAUAACUUGAGAUGCAAGAAGAGAGAAGAAUGAAAAACAACCAACCAACCACCGCAACAAAAAAGCCUCCCACCACACACCAGAAGUGCUUUCUUGCUUCCCUGAGAACCUGCCCAUAACUUAAGAUUGUUUGGGCGGUUUGUAGCUUUCCUGCCUUCCUUCCUUUCCAGUUAAUUAUUCAUGCACUUGGUACCAGCAGACAGGUUUUGUUUUCCUUCAGGUGUAAUUAGAGCAAUCAAAGGUCAGGAAGUCAAAGUCUGGACUCAUAUGAUGUUGUGGCCCAUCCAGGCUUCACUGAACCAGAGAGAGCAUCUCAGAUUCAUUAGUCAGAAUCACUUCAGUGUGAGUUUUCUAAUUUCAUUGUUCUUAGUGAGACUUACUUUGGUAUACAGCUGACUUUAGAUAAACAAAUGUUUUGCCUUGAGAGGAGGGAUCUGACUUCCGUUUUGGAAAAUUCCAAGUUCAGCUUGUUGUGGUCUUGGGACAUGGCUAGCUGAUAAUACUGGGAAAUGUACUGCUCCACAUGCCUUCUGAGAAAUAUAAAAGGAAAUAUAAUCCUCAGCAUUUCUGGGAAGAAGUAGUCUGAUUUCUUUUCAUAUUUGGUAAACCAGUAUCUCACCAAAUUCCAGCUCAAGAACUGAAAGUUUAAUUAGCUCUAUCCUGGAUGAAAUACACUGCUGCUUAGCUGUGUUAAAGCUGUGUAGUCCAUAAAUUGAUAACUUGGUUGUCAGCCUUCAUAACACCCUGGACAGUAACAAAACCCAUAGAUUUACACACUGUGGAUUACUUUAUAAAAUAUUAAUGUUUGGGUUGGAUCGUAAAGGGUUUAGAUCUCUUAUCCUUUUUAUUCUCCUUUGGUAAAAGAAGAAAAAAGAAGGCUGACAUUAAAAAUGUAGGGUAUUUUCAAUAUUUCAGAGACAACAAACUGCAUUGCCCAAAGUCAGCAGCCCCCAUCCUCACCACUGGCAUGGUAGAAAAGCAUAUUCAGUAGUGUUAUGUUGCCAAGUGUCAGCCUUUCCUGAGAACUUUUAAAAACUGAUAUAUAUAAAUGCUGAAAUGCCUUUGUCAUACUACAUUUCCCUUUGCUGGAGUUUUCUUACUGCUGUUACUCAAGUAGCCCUGGAAAUACAGGGUAAUAUUUUUGCUCUGUCCUUCAGGUUAACUUAUUUGUGUGUAGGUUGUGGCAGAAAACCAAGUUUUCCCUGGGAUUAAUUCUGAUGGGAAACCAAAACUGCAACUUUGAUUAGGGAAAAAUCUCCAAGGAUUGUUUUUUCCUCUGUCUUGGAGAUGAAGUGAGAAUGGCGGAGGCUCAGAUUUUGCUGCCAUGCAACCUGUUUAAAACUAAUGCAACGUAAUCAGAGUUUGAGGGCAAGACAAGAGUAGCAUCCAGUAGGUA
rnacentral:lncRNA from 1 species